CAUCAAUCUGCAGCUCAUCCUCGGACUCAAAGUCAGACAGACUGGAUCCUUCCGCAGCAAGAUGUUUGAACUUUCCUGCACUUCCUGCACCAUUACUGCUGCCGUCCUUCUUCCUAAAAUCAGAGGAUCAACAGCAGUCUGGUGGAAUAUGAAACAAAUUCCAGCAUGCCAAUGUCACUAUUACUUAUGGAUGGAAGUAAUGAAACAAGAGGGAAGAGAUGAAAGAAUGAUAUACAAAAAGAACAAUGGGAAAGUCAGGUUCACAAAUGUUGUUUAAAUGUCAAGACCAUUAAAAGAACACUGCAGUCAAGAAGGGCAACAGUAAGAUUACAUGGACUUGGAAUAGAAAACAGUCCUGAGGAAACUAACCGG